rnacentral:lncRNA from 1 species
GUCAAUAAUUACCACCCUGCAACUGACUUUUAUGUGUUCUAGAACUGCCCUCACAUCAACAUGUUGGAUCAGAGGAAACAAACCAUAAGACUAUCAUUAAAUGGAGAAGGGUUGGAGGACCAGGCAGGAGGACACAUCAUGGCUGUCCCAGCUAGGAUCCUGCUAAGAGGAGACUCCAACAACUUUACCACCGCCCCCCCAGACACUCCGUAGCGGCUGAACACGAAGACGGCACUCCACUGGGAUGACCUUUGAUUCUUGGCAGAGGAGAGCGAUUUCACUGAGGGAAUUCACUGCAGUUGAUGAGUCUCUAGUGUUUGUCAAGAUCUCUGUGGAAACAAACAGUCAGAGGGUCUUUGUGGAAGAGUCCAGAAAUAAUUGAGUAAGCCAGGAGACCCUUAUUCCACCCCCCUGCAAAAAAAGAAAGAAAGAAAGAAAGAAAAAAGUCAGGUUAUACUUUUCUUUUAAGGGCUCCCUGAUUGCCUUGUAUAAAUAAUUGCUAUUCCCCAGCACUUUCCCUUUUACUGAGAAAAAUACAAAAGAAAAGUAAACCGAAUCAAGACAUAAUUUCAUUUUUACAGCUGAAUAAGCUUUGUCUUUGGUUGUUUUAAAAAUGAAAUAAAUGGGAAAAUAUUUGUUAGAGAAUAAUAAACACACCCAGGUAUUUGCUGCUCUUCUCAGGCCAGGCUAGGAUUGAAGUGGCUCGGUAAGACCACCUGUGUUUCUUGGUGCGAGCCCAGCAGAGCUGCACAAUCUGUAGAGUUGGUCUCAGUCCAGCGACCUGGCUACAUUCUUGGAUCUCUUACUCAACAUGAGGCAUCAAGAUCACUGGAAACUUUAACAAAAACAUCAACAACCGAAAGAGCCAGUUAGCCUAUGGUCUGACCCCCAGCCUGCACACCCGUACAUCAAUCUACUUCGAAUCUUCUGGGAAAUUAGUUCAGCGUUCAAGGCAGG